rnacentral:rRNA from 1 species
GACGAACGCUGGCGGCGUGCCUAAUACAUGCAAGUCGAACGCAGUGGGGACGGGUGAGUAACACCUGGGCAACCUCCCAUCAGAGGGGAUAACACUUGGAAACAGGUGCUAAACUGACACUGAUGUAUUGAUCCGCGGUGCAGUAGCUAGUUGGUGGGGUAACGGCCCACCAAGGCCACGAUGCAUAGCCGACCGGGGAGGGUGAUCGGCCACACUGGGACUGAGACACGGCCCAGACUCCUACGAGAGGCAGCAGUAGGGAAUCUGCGGCAAUGGACGAAAGUCUGACCGAGCAACGCCGCGUGAGAGAAGAAGGUUUUCGGAUCGGAAAACUCUGUUGUUAGAGAAGCGGUAUCUAACCAGGAAGCCACGGCUAACUACGUGCCAGCAGCCGCGGUAAUUC